GAUGAAGAACGUAGCGAAAUGUGAUAAGUAGUGUGAAUUGCAGAAUUCAGUGAAUCAUCGAAUCUUUGAACGCACAUUGCGCCUCCUGGCAUUCCGGGAGGCAUGCCUGUUCGAGCGUCAUCAAACCCCAUCGUGCAAAUGAAUUAUUUUUUUUGCGCGGAAGUGACGAUUGAGCGAGAAUAACAAAUCCUCUCGCACCUCGUCGAAAUGAUUGCGGGCGGAAUUUGGGAUCGGGUUCCUCGGCGUAGUGUAUCAAUGCAUAUUUAUGCAACUUGCCGCGGAGUUGAGCCUGACCCACGCGUUCUCGCCGUACAAACACCUCAUUACUUUACAAGUUUUUGACCUCGGAUCAGGUAGGGAUACCCGCUGAACUUAAGCAUAUCAAUAAGCGGAGGA
rnacentral:misc_RNA from 1 species